CGUUCCCCUGCGCGGCGCGACGCGACGCGACGCGCGAUUAUCUAACGCGUCUCCAGCCACUUUUUCAGUGCAGUCGGCACAUGUGCUUUGUUCUUUUGUUUUAGUUCCAUCUCCGUUCUUCCCCUAUAAUUGAACGUGUAACAAAGGUGCACUGGAUAAUUCGAGGAUGCUCCGGUUUCAUCACCAACGCAGGGGCGUCUCGCUCCCGCACGUCAGACGCGAAUCGUAUCUACAACGUUGAGGUUUCUUUCCGAGUUCGGGUGAAGUUGAACACCGUCCAGUUUUUAGGUAGAACGCGCACGUGCCUCUGUAUUCUAGUUGUGAUAUCAGCCACCCUUGCAAUAACUAUCAGACAUGGCUCGGGAGAAACUCGAAAGAAAUCACCUUUGGCUGAGUAUGGCGUGCAUUUUGGUGGUGUUAGCUCAGAGGAAUUCAACACAUCCGACGAGCGAAUCUGAACACAUCGAGGGUGGUCUUCCGCUCUCCUCGCCGCCAACGCCACCAUUCGAGGGCAACUCAAGAGACUCUAGACGCUUCUCAGUAUCCAUCUUCAGAGAAAUCGCUCAAGAAAUCAGUGCCAGACUGGCCGGCAACAGCCAGAUCCUGAGCCUGAACGUGACGAACAUAAUAAUCAUCCUGAUCCUGAAGGGGAUCCUGUACGGGGCGGCGUUGAUCGGGACGGGGGCGCUGUUCGGGGGUUCAAGCACCUGCAGCCGCACCGGAGUGACGUCAGCGGGAACCAGAUCCGGGAGGGGCUCGACCCGGACGAAGCGGUCAUCAGCGAAUCGGAGGUGCUCAUGCUCCUCGGCUACCUCAUGGGCGAGACGGCCAACAAGUACGACUGCCUCAACCGCAUCGCCUGCCAGGACCCCAAAAAGGCCACCGAGUACAUCCACGCCGCCAAGAUGCUCCUCAAGGGCUCCAACAUCUUCUACAAGAAUAACGUACCCCAAUACGCCAAAUAUCAACGGGUGCUGGACGAAUUGCAGAGAGCCGUUGACUUCGGGAAUUCAGGCGGUCAGUGCGAGGAGCUGUAUUCUUGUAGCAGCAGCUCCAACAACUAUAGCAACUACUAACUUCAGGAGUUCAAAAUAA
rnacentral:lncRNA from 1 species